rnacentral:rRNA from 1 species
UAGGGAAUCUUGCGCAAUGGGCGUUAAGCCUGACGCAGCGAUGCCACGUGAGUGAGGAAGGUCUUCGGAUUGUAAAGCUCUGUCCUAAGGGAAAAAUGACAUUUAGGUUAAUAGUCUAAGUGAGUGAUUGUACCUUGGAAGAAAGCACCGGCUAACUUCGUGCCAGCAGCCGCGGUAAUACGAAGGGUGCAAGCGUUGUUCGGAUUUAUUGGGCGUAAAGGGCGUGUAGGCGGAAAAAUAAGUCAGGUGUGAAAUCUCGGAGCUUAACUCCGAAACAGCGCCUGAAACUGUUUAUCUAGAAUCUCGAAUGGGGAGGCGGAAUUUCGCAUGUAGGAGUAAAAUCCGUAGAGAUGCGAAGGAACACCAGAGGCGAAGGCGGCCUCCUGGGAGAGUAUUGACG